rnacentral:lncRNA from 1 species
GUUAUAUGCAUACGGUUGCUGUCGUCACUGAAUUAAAAUCUGGGCUGGGUUGGAUUGGAUUGGGUUUGGAAACUGCGUUUUAGAGGCCUCCUGGUCAUCCUCAAGCGCACCACUGGGGCUGCUUGCAUCUUCCUAUACGAGAUGUCGAUAGAGAGCUAUGUUUCCUAGUCCAGAACACGAGCCGGAUCUGUGCGUCUUCGUCCUGAGCCUGCCUACGGGAGGUGAGAGUAGUAGAGGGUACUAUAGUACCGUAGUAGCUCUUCCGCCGCAGCUGUGUUGGCCCUCUG